GUUCCUACGGGGGGCUGCAGUGGGGAAUCUUAGACAAUGGGGGAAACCCUGAUCUAGCCAUGCCGCGUGAGUGAAGAAGGCCUUAGGGUUGUAAAGCUCUUUCACCUGUGAGGAUGAUGACAGUAGCAGGAGAAGAAGCACCGGCUAACUCCGUGCCAGCAGCCGCGGUAAUACGGAGGGUGCUAGCGUUGUUCGGAAUGACUGGGCGUAAAGGGCGCGUAGGCGGUUAUGUUAGUUAGAUGUGAAAUCCCAGGGCUUAACCUUGGAAUUGCAUUUAAUACUGCAUGACUUGAGAUCGGAAGAGGAAAGCGGAAUUCCUAGUGUAGAGGUGAAAUUCGUAGAUAUUAGGAGGAACAUCAGAGGCGAAGGCGGCUUUCUGGUCCGCAUCUGACGCUGAGGCGCGAAAGCGUGGGGAGCAAACAGGAUUAGAUACCCCGGUAGUCCA
rnacentral:rRNA from 1 species